rnacentral:rRNA from 1 species
CAGUAGCCGCGGGAAUACGAGGGGGGCAAGCGUUGUUCGGAAUUAUUGGGCGUAAAGGGUGCGUAGGCGGUUUGACAAGUCUUAUGUGAAAUCUCUGGGCUCAACCCAGAGUCUGCAUGGGAAACUGUCGGGCUUGAGUAUGGGAGAGGUGAGUGGAAUUUCCGGUGUAGCGGUGAAAUGCGUAGAUAUCGGAAGGAACACCUGUGGCGAAAGCGGCUCACUGGACCAUAACUGACGCUGAGGCACGAAAGCUAGGGGAGCAAACAGGAUUAGAUACCCCCGUAGUCCCUGUCCCUUAUAC